AAAGGUUUGGUCCUAGCCUUGAAAUCAGCUACUAAUUAAAUUACACAUGCAAGUCUCCGCAUCCCUGUGAAAACGCCCUUAAAUCCCUUAUAGGGAUUAGGAGCUGGUAUCAGGAUCAAUACAUGCCCAAGACACCUAGCCUCGCCACACCCACAAGGGACCUCAGCAGUGAUUAACAUUGACCAUAAGCGACAGCUUGACUCAGUUAAAUUUUAUAGAGCCGGCCAAUUUGGUGCCAGCCGCCGCGGUUACACCAGAAGCUCAAACUGAUUUCUACCGGCGUAAAGCGUGAUUAAAGCAACUAACCCAUUGGAAUUAAAUUUAAACUGAGCCGUGACACGCCUGUUUUUAAGAAACCCAUAAACGAAAGUUAUUCCAACUUAACCCACUUGAACUCACGACAACUGAAACACAAACUGGGAUUAGAUACCCCACUAUGUUCAGUCGUAAACUUUGAAUUACACUACUAUCGCCUGGGAACUACGAGCUAAGCUUAAAACCCAAAGGACUUGACGGUACCCCACAUCCACCUAGAGGAGCCUGUCCUAUAAUCGAUAACCCACGUUUAACCUCACCAUUUUUAGCUUAUUCAGCCUGUAUACCUCCGUCGUCAGCUUACCACGUGAGCGUCAGUGAGCUCAAUGUUUAUUCAACAAUACGUCAGGUCAAGGUGCAACUCAUAAAAUGGGAAGAGAUGGGCUACAUUUUCUAACAUAGACUACACGGAAAACUACUAUGAAACCUAGUUGGAAGGCGGAUUUAGCAGUAAAUAGGAACUAGAAAAUCCUUUUUAAUUCGGCACUGGGGUGUGUACACACCGCCCGUCACCCUCUUCUUAUGCUCAAAACAGUUUUUAACAAAUUCAGCUUUUAUAGAAGAGGUAAGUCGUAACAUGGUAAGUAUACCGGAAGGUGUGCUUGGAUCAA
rnacentral:ncRNA from 1 species